CUUCACCGAGCCCAGCCACAGCGGGUCCUCGCCCGAGCGCUCCUGACCGUACGUCGCCUGCAGCGCCUGCGCCUC
rnacentral:antisense_RNA from 1 species